ACUUAAUGUUCAAUUAAAUGUGAUUGAUCAUUGUUGUCCCAGAUUUGGUCGCAUUUUUUAUACAGUUAAAUUUCAGUUUCGCAAUUCAAAUUUAUACUCGUUAACAUCUUACUGUAUUAUCGUUAUAGAACGAAACUUGGGAUGAGGUGCCACGCGAAUACCACUAUUUCAAGACAGUCAAGCCCGCCAUUGGGGACGCUUCUUUCUUACCUGCUGAAAUCAAGAGCCACUGCCAAGGUUUACCUGUAUAUUGGACUGUACCUGUCAGCUCUCCAGGUGUCAACUCCAGGCAGAGACGCGUAGCAGCAGAAUUAAGAGAAGCACAACGAAGUGUAGCUGUAUGCGUUCGUGUAUUUGGGAGACAUAUCUUCACAGUUAGUUUCUAAACAUCGUGAGCGACAAUGACUUCAUGCUAUUUUUUGUGCACAAUUUGUCUUGAAAAAAUACAAAAUAUCUUUGAAAUAUUUAAAAUAUCUUAAAAUUCUCUACCACGUAAAACAGAUCUGUUGACGCUAUAGAAUGCAAGCUUGCAUUUUAAAAAGUGCAUUUUCAUUGUUUAUAUCAUGUUAAUGACGGUACGGUGUAUGCUAUAAUCUAAGUGAUAAAAACAUUUACAGCUCCAUUUGUUAGAAUAUUGUCAUGGUACAAAAUAAAUCUUUAAAUUACCAUUU